rnacentral:rRNA from 1 species
AUACGUAGGGGGCGAGCGUUGUCCGGAAUGAUUGGGCGUAAAGGGCGCGUAGGCGGCCCGGUAAGUCUGGAGUGAAAGUCCUGUUUUUAAGAUGGGAAUUGCUUUGGAUACUGUCGGGCUUGAGUGCAGGAGAGGUAAGUGGAAUUCCCAGUGUAGCGGUGAAAUGCGUAGAGAUUGGGAGGAACACCAGUGGCGAAGGCGACUUACUGGACUGUAACUGACGCUGAGGCGCGAAAGUGUGGGGAGCAAACAGGAUUAGAUACCCUGGUAGUCCACACUGUAAACGAUGAAUGCUAGGUGUAAGAGGUAUCGACCCCUUUUGUGCCGGAGUUAACACAAUAAGCAUUCCGCCUGGGGAGUACGGCCGCAAGGUUGAAACUCAAAUGAAUUGACGGGG